GUCUACAGCCAUACCACCCUGAACACACCUGAUCUCACCUGAUUUUGGAAGCUAAGCAGGGUCAGGCCUGGUUAGUACUUGGAUGGGAGAGAGGGGCCAGUUUUCUGUGACA
rnacentral:rRNA from 1 species